AAGUCGUAACAAGGUUUCCGUAGGUGAACCUGCGGAAGGAUCAUUAACACAACUCAGCUGAGGCCGUCCGGGCAGGAAACUGCACGGAUGCGUCUCAUCUACUAUCCAACCGUGGUCUUGUUCCGUACCUCUGCCGUCAAACGUGGAGGUUUAUCCACUUCGUCGCUGAAGUGUCGAUGGCGUGCGGUCUUCGGGCUGUCACGAAAGCGACCCAGUGGCAUCAGGCACUGUAUCGUCACAUGCAAUGCCUGGAGCCGUAUAGAUGAUUUGGCCUUUUUUUCUAUCUGAAUGACUACCUGCACUGAUAUCAUAUGCCCACGAAAGUGUGCGUAUGCUUUAUUGGCCUCGUGUCAAUAAAACCAAUCACAACUCGUAACAAUGGAUAUCUCGGCUAAC
rnacentral:misc_RNA from 1 species